rnacentral:rRNA from 1 species
GACGAACGCUGGCGGCGUGCUUAACACAUGCAAGUCGAACGGAAAGGCCCUGCUUUUGUGGGGUGCUCGAGUGGCGAAAGGGUGAGUAACACGUGAGUAACCUGCCCUUGACUUUGGGAUAACUUCAGGAAACUGGGGGUAAUACCGGAUAGGCGCGCCGGCUGCAUGGUGGGGGUUGGAAAGGUUCGGAGGUGGGGGAUGGACUCUCGGCUUAUCAGCUUGUUGGUGGGGUAGUGGCUUACCAAGGCUUUGACGGGUAGCGGGCCUGAGGGGGUGACCGGCCACAUUGGGAGUGAGAUACGGCCCAGACUCCUACGGGAGGCAGCAGUGGGGAAUAUUGCACAAUGGGCGGAAGCCUGAUGCAGCAACGCCGCGUGCGGGAUGACGGCCUUCGGGUUGUAAACCGCUUUCGCCUGUGACGAAGCGUGAGUGACGGUAAUGGGUAAAGAAGCACCGGCUAACUACGUG